AUUAGCUUCCCUUGAAUUUUGCAGAAUAUCGGCCAAAGUCUUAACGUUAAUUCCACUUGAUGUUGCAUUGUACUUGCCUAGAUAUGCUGCCACAUCUAACCUAUCACCCUCUAACUGUAGUGGCAUUCCCCCAUCAGAUACUCCCAUUAUGUAGCCAAAACUAUUGGCACUAAGUUCUAACUCCCUACCAUUAAAUUCUAUCACACACCUAGCCACAUCCGUCCUCUGAACAAGCCAACAACAUAGUUUCCUUUUCAGUCUUCCACAAUUAAGCUUAAUCAGAUUAUCUAGUCCCAUUUCAGAAACUACUUCCCUCUGGUCAUCUGUCAGUUGUACCACAAUAGCUGCAAACCUGUCAGGUGCGCACCGGGUGAGAAACUUUCUCUCCUCAACAACUUUCUCAGCUCUGUGCGAUUGGGUUAUGUAUUUGCUUUUCUCGUCCGGAGGUAAGUUUUUAAAUUCUGUUCCUAGUUCUUUGCGAACCUAUACGAAAUUAUUACAUAUCAUUUCCAAUAUAUUCUCAACUAAAUCGAUUAAAACAUCGCUUUUAAUUUACUAACCUCUCUCGUAAUGCUUGCGCUUGCAUCAUUUGCCUUCAUUCGACGUACCGCUUCCCCACUGCACAUUUACAAAAUUGCAUUGAUUUACGAACACAUCAUAUUCAAGUUUGUCUAUGCGAACAAAUUAAUUGACUUCAUUAAUUUUUCGGUACUCUUUCACAAACUUACAAGAAGCUGACAAAUCCAUAGCUACUUUGCGUGGCUUCAUUCCCUUCACCAUUGACAAUGGUCACUUUUUCGAGAUCACCAUUAGGAUUGCAUAACUUCCGCUUACGAAUUCUCCCCAGUUCCAUUCCUGCAACCCAAAUCAUUCUUAAAUAUCACUUUAACAUUCUUUUCUUCUUUCUUGCCUUCAAUCUAGUGACUUCAGCCUCAAUUUUUAAUAUAUCAUAUUACCAUUAUAUAUUAAUAUUUCAUCUAUUUACUAAUAAUUGCUAUAUCAUCUACAUUCUACAGGCUAUUUUCACACAAGCAGUCUACCUUCGAGGGCAAAGACAACGAAACCUAUUUACACGGUAUAAAUAAAAUCAAGUGCUUGCAUUCUGAAAUGGAUCCAACCAAAUUACAUUUAUAUUAAAUUCAAUGUCAUCAGCCAAUCAAAUAUACUACUCACGACGCAUAUAAUGUGGGUACUUGAUUGCAUCGUUUCUACUAAGGAGCACAAUACUAUUUUCAAUCCUAGUGAACUUAAGAUUUUUUUCCCCGCAAUCAGGAUAAUGAACCACCAGUUUUCCAAUUCUUUAGAAAAAUGUACCUCGGUUUCAAGUUUCACGCUCACGCAUCCGCAUUUGAUUCUCCACAACUACGCUGGGAUCGUUUCAAAUCCUCUUCUUUAUGGCUCGCCUACUAGAUGUCUUCUAAGUUGAAUGAUGCAGGAUGGUUAUUUGUCUUCUAUAAUUUGCCUACCGU
rnacentral:lncRNA from 1 species